AAAUAAUGUACUACAGAACUCAUAUUCAACUCUAGUUAACGGUGAAAAUGUGACCCUAACACCCCAAAGCAAUCUUGCCAAAACUCACAAGGCUUUCUCACUCUUCUUCACCGUCUGUCUGUCUGUCUUCUCUCCGCCAAAACGACUCUUCUUUGAAAUCUCAUAUAACCGCCAAACAAUCUUUCAAAACUGUAGAAUCCUCCUUUCAUCUUCUUGCAGCCAUGGAAACUGAAACUGAAAUGCUCAACGCUUACUUCACAAAUGGCGCAGAAGUUGAGAUUAGCAGUGAUGAGGACGGUUUUCGAGGCGCGUGGUAUGAGGGAACAGUUGUACGACCCAUUCAGAAGAAACAGAGGAGGAAUAUAGACGACGAAGAGGAGGAGGAGAGUAGAAACAAGCUGCGGGUGUUGGUGGAGUACAAAACGCUGAUGGCGGAUAAAAAAGGUAAACGGCCGCUGAAGGAGGCAAUGACCUUAGUUCAGUUGCGUCCACGGCCGCCACCUGAACGGAGGAGGAAGUUCAAGGUCAGUGAUGAGGUGGAUGCUUAUUACAACGAUGGGUGGUGGGAGGGUGUGGUCAUGGAGGUGUCGAGUGAUGGGAAGUACUCCGUGUUCUUCAGGGGAACAAGGGACCAGCUGGAAUUUGAGGAAUCUCAGAUACGGAUCCACCGUGAAUGGGCCAAUGGCGAGUGGACCCCACCAUUUGAGGACGAAGAAGAAGAAAAAGAGAAACUUGUAUCUACUGAAAUGAAACCCAACAACGAAGCUGCAGAAAUUUUUAGUGAAGGGUCAUUAGUCGAAGUCAGCAGUGAUGAAGAAGGUUUUGAGGGUGCUUGGUUUGUUGCAACUGUUGUUAAGCUUUUAGAUAAUGGUAACUACCUGAUAGAGUAUCAGAACUUAAGAAACAAUGACGAUACAGAGUUUUUGCAAGAAGAAACUGAUCGUUUGCAUAUACGACCACGUCCACCUGACCUUGGACCUUUUGAAUGCUUCAAAGCCCUUGAAGAAGUUGAUGCUCUGCACAAUGAUGGCUGGUGGGUGGGUGUGAUUUCUAAAGCACUUAAAGGCCAGAGAUACAAUGUUUACUUUAAGGCGAGCAAUGAGGAGUUGGAGUUUAAGCAUGCUGAUAUAAGGCUGCAUCUGGACUGGACCAACGGCAAAUGGGUCAGAGCUUCCCAGGAAUUAAACUUGUGAUCUUCGAGAAAUUGCAAUGUUUGGAGAUCUGCAAUCAGGAUUUGUAGUGUAGCUUCUAAAUGGUUUAACGGAUAAUGUAUUCUGCUCAGGAUUGUAACAUGUAUAGGAUGUGUUCCUAGUUGGAUUAGAAGAUUGGCCUAUCAAGAAUUUGAAAAUGAACCCUGUUCUCCUUUAGAGAAGCCUACAGGUGUGUCAAUAUUGUUGUGCUAAGUUAAAUUGUGUGUCUUGUGUAAGCCAAACCUAUGGAUAACUUCAGUUGUUGUCAACGAUAAUCACUAAAGAACUAUAUUCAUGCAAUAUCCGCCACUUAAACAGAAUUUUGUACUUCUUUUUGUUCUUAAUUUUCUGCAUCUCUUAUAGUAUUUAUGGGGCGGUAUAUUAUUAACA